rnacentral:antisense_RNA from 3 species
UUUGAUGGCGGCUGUACGCAGGGCGCUUCGGCGCGCCGGCUUCCUUAGGUUCCCCGGUCUGCUAACCUGCGUCCAGCUGCCUCCCUU